rnacentral:lncRNA from 1 species
AUAAACAGCAAGGGAUAACAGAAGUGUAGGAUUGAUUGUGAGCUUCUCCCCCCAAACUCAGAAAAACUGCCAGGUAAAUGAGGUCUCAUCUGCAUGUGCCCCACUUGCAUUGCUACUGAGGGACCCUGAAAAGCAGACAACCCUGGGUGUUACACCCUCCCCAGGGUAUGAAAGGACACACUAGGCAAAUGUGUUGAAGAACAUCCCGUUUCCAGGUGGAAACUGGAACUGAGCCAGCCUGUUCCAGCCAGUCUCUCCUUGUCUCAGGAUGUUGCAUUCUCAGCAUAUUUUACAGUUAUUCCAGGGAACAACAGUGAGAAGGGGAGAGAGCUGGGUUGGUUCAAGGCCACCUGGAGAACUGUCCUGCACCAUGUGUCGUAUAUUGUUUAUGGCUGCUUUGACACUACAACAGCAGUGUUGAGUAGUUGCAGUAGGGACUGUUUAACCCACAAAGCCUACAUUGCUUACAUCUGGACCUUUGCAGGAAAAGUUUGCUGACCUGUACUUUAAUAUAUAAAAACCCAUUCACAUUUGCACAUUCAUUUGGUGGUCACCACAGGCCUAUGGUAACAUCUCCGUUUUCAGAAGCUCAGAAAAGUAAGCUGCUUGCUCAAGAAUGGACGGCUUCAAGGUGGCAGAGCUGGAAGUUUCUAACUCACUCACCUCAUACUCAGACCUGCACUGUUUUUCAAGACAGUCAAUAUUUCAGGGUUCCCAGACUUUCACUGGGAGGGCAGUCUGCUGGAGAAUUCUAUCUAGCUUGUGAGGCUGAUGUUUUUCUUCCAUUCAGGCCAUCUACUGAUUGGAUGAGGCCCACCAGCAUUCUGAAAGACAAGGAAUCUGAGACCUGGCUGGGAGAAGAGGACUUGCCUAAAGUUAUCCCACACAGCAAAUUAGUUGGAAAACCAGGAUAGUUGAGUAAAUAUCCUGGAGCCCAGCCAAGUAAUGAAGCCAGAAUUCAGAAAGCUGUUUUGGCUAGAUCUUGGAUUUUUACAAUAAAGGGUCUGUAAGGGAUAUUUGUGAAAAAUGUUGACACUUGACGGCUGUCCUGAUUCAUUCAGCUACCUAGGUUAUCUCUGCCUCUCUUUGACUUGUGUUUUGUCUUUUAAGAUGGCAGUCUUGCUCUUUUGCCUGGGCUGGUCUUGAACUCCUGGGCUCAAGCAGUUUUCCUGCUUUAGCCUCCUGAGUAGCUGGGGCUACAGGAGGACAUCACUGUGCCCAGCUCUCUCCGUAUCUUUGACUAGGUUAUUUUACAACCCCAUACGAUAGAAAUGAAGUUAUAGAAAACUGAUAGGAAUACAAAUAAUUAUUAUCCAUGGAAAUGCAAAUUGGAUCUAAUGGAAUGAAACUGAUUUUUUUUCCAGCAGAUAGUGACCACCUUUGUAUCCUUUUGUAAAUUCAUUUCAGCAUUCCAUAUUUGACUAAAAAUGUGUGACACUCCCAAUUUGCUUUUGAAUUCAUUGUAAUAUCUACCAAUUCCCUCAUUAAUUAAUGAGUUAAAUAAAGCCUUUGGCAUGUAUUUAUUUUGUAUCUAUAGGAGAGUCAUGAGUAUAUCUUCUUUUAAAAGGUAUUCUUCAGUAGGUCUUAGGGUGCACAAUACUUACAUCUUAUUUUCUCAUUCUACACUGUUCCCACACCUCACCCAGAAUAAAUGUAAUCUCCUGUGAGCUUCUGAACAUCAUGAAGAAUAACAGCUCAUUUUGUAAAGUCAUUUAGUAUUCG